UGGGGAAUUUUGGACAAUGGGCGAAAGCCUGAUCCAGCAAUGCCGCGUGUGUGAAGAAGGCCUUCGGGUUGUAAAGCACUUUUGUCCGGAAAGAAAUCCUUGGCUCUAAUACAGUCGGGGGAUGACGGUACCGGAAGAAUAAGCACCAGCUAACUACGUGCCAGCAGCCGCGGUAAUACGUAGGGUGCAAGCGUUAAUCGGAAUUACUGGGCGUAAAGCGUGCGCAGGCGGUUUGCUAAGACCGAUGUGAAAUCCCCGGGCUCAACCUGGGAACUGCAUUGGUGACUGGCAGGCUAGAGUAUGGCAGAGGGGGGUAGAAUUCCACGUGUAGCAGUGAAAUGCGUAGAGAUGUGGAGGAAUACCGAUGGCGAAGGCAGCCCCCUGGGCCAAAUACUGACGCUCAUGCACGAAAGCGUGGGGAGCAAACAGGAUUAGAUACCCUGGUAGUCCACGCCCUAAACGAUGUCAACUAGUUGUUGGGGGCA
rnacentral:rRNA from 1 species